GACGUAGGGGGCCAGCGUUGUUCGGAAUUACUGGGUGUAAAGGGUUCGUAGGCGGUGCGGCAAGUUGGGAGUGAAAUCUCUGGGCUUAACCCAGAGGCUGCUUCCAAAACUGCUGUGCUUGAGUGUGGGAGAGGCGCGUGGAAUUGCAGGUGUAGCGGUGAAAUGCGUAGAUAUCUGCAGGAACACCCGUGGCGAAAGCGGC
rnacentral:rRNA from 1 species